ACGGGAGGCAGCAGUGGGGAAUAUUGCACAAUGGGGGAAACCCUGAUGCAGCAACGCCGCGUGAGUGAUGACGGUCUUCGGAUUGUAAAGCUCUGUCUUCAGGGACGAUAAUGGCGGUACCUGAGGAGGAAGCCACGGCUAACUACGUGCCAGCAGCCGCGGUAAUACGUAGGUGGCAAGCGUUGUCCGGAUUUACUGGGCGUAAAGGGGGCGUAGGCGGACUUUUAAGUGGGAUGUGAAAUACCCGGGCUUAACCUGGGUGCUGCAUUCCAAACUGGGAGUCUAGAGUGCAGGAGGGGAAAGUGGAAUUCCUAGUGUAGCGGUGAAAUGCGUAGAGAUUAGGAAGAACACCGGUGGCGAAGGCGACUUUCUGGACUGUAACUGACGCUGAGGCUCGAAAGCGUGGGGAGCGAACAGGAUUAGAUACCCUGGUA
rnacentral:rRNA from 1 species